UCCUCCAUCCUCCACCCUCCAUCCUCCACCCUCCAUCCCCUGCGUAUGUAAAUCUCUUGCAUAUAGAGCAGUCAAUUAAGCCGCUUAGUUGAUUGAAACUGGGCUAUUUUGGAAGCAUGGAAUGUGUGAGAAUGAGGUGAAAAGGGGGUCGCGACUUAGCUCUUCAGCCAAUGAAAGGCCAGGGAAAGAAACAAGGUUUCUGAGGUUAAUUCAACUCACAGAAGAAGUGUCACAGCUUGGAGGAGGAGGGGGUUUGCCACAGUAGUACUCUUGAGAAAUUGUGUAAAAAUCCUCCUCACUUUGUUACAGACUGGUUUAGAUCAGGGGUUUGACGUCACGGCUGCAUUGUCAUGGGGGCAUUGGGUUUGUUAUUGCAGUUUGACCUGACCGCCCAGAGUGGCACAGCAGCAUCACCAAUCUCCAUUUGAUCUGCUUAUCAAGUUUAUUUAGUAAAUGACUCUGUACAUGAAGUUGCUUUACAUGGUUGGGUUUAGAUUUCCAGGACGUAUAACAGUGUGUUUUACACAGAGGAGAAUAUGUCAUUGAGAAAGGAGAACUGGUGCUGAACAGUUAAAGUAGGAGUUGAAACAUAAGACUGGUCAUUAUCAACUAGUCGUGGUAGUAAGGUGACUGGUUUGGGAAAGUUACAACAACAGGAAUGGAGUGACACUAGUCAGUUUUUGCCUACAGAUGGAAUCAAGAUUCCUGGAACCAAGAAUGAGACGACUUCUGGGGGAUUCACAGGGCUUCUUGUGGUGAUACCAAGCAACUAACAUCAGGCAGAAGCUACAUCGAUGGAAUUGGGAAGAUGGACAAUCAACAGGUAAGAAUGACACUGAGUUCACAUCCAU